rnacentral:rRNA from 1 species
AAUCAACGCUGGCGGCGUGCCUAACACAUGCAAGUCGAACGCGAAAGUGGAGCAAUCCAUGAGUAGAGUGGCAAACGGGUGAGUAACACGUGGGUGACCUGCCUUCGAGUGGGGGAUAACGUUUCGAAAGGAACGCUAAUACCGCAUAACAUGCUGUCUUUUAACAGAUGGACAUCAAAGCCGGGGACCGCAAGGCCUGGCGCUUGAAGAGGGGCCCGCGCCUGAUUAGCUAGUUGGUGGGGUAAUGGCUCACCAAGGCAACGAUCAGUAUCCGGCCUGAGAGGGCGGACGGACACACUGGGACUGAGACACGGCCCAGACUCCUACGGGAGGCAGCAGUGGGAAUUGUUCGCAAUGGGCGCAAGCCUGACGACGCAACGCCGCGUGGAGGAUGAAGAUCUUCGGGUUGUAAACUCCUUUCGAUCGAGACGAAUGGCCCUUGGGCUAACACU